rnacentral:rRNA from 1 species
UACGUAGGGGGCUAGCGUUGUCCGGAAUCAUUGGGCGUAAAGAGCGUGUAGGCGGCCCGGUAAGUCCGCUGUAAAAGUCAAAGGCUCAACCUUUGAAUGUCAGUGGAUACUGCCGGGCUAGAGUCCGGAAGAGGCGAGUGGAACUCCUGGUGUAGCGGUGGAAUGCGCAGAUAUCAGGAAGAACACCCGUGGCGAAGGCGGGACUCUGGGCCGAUACUGACGCUGAGGAGCGAAAGCGUGGGGAGCGAACAGG